rnacentral:tRNA from 1 species
GCGCAAGUGGCGAAAUUGGCAGACGCGCACGCUUGAGGGGCGUGUGGGGCAACCCAUGCAGGUUCAAGUCCUGUCUUGCGCA